CUAAGAAUCUUCCGCAAUGGGCGAAAGCCUGACGGAGCGACGCCGCGUGAACGAAGAAGGCCGUGAGGUUGUAAAGUUCUUUUCGGGAGGGGGAACAACCGUGGCAGGGAAUGGCCGCGGGAUGACGUGAAUCCCGGAAUAAGCCCCGGCUAACUACGUGCCAGCAGCCGCGGUAACACGUAGGGGGCGAGCGUUGUUCGGAAUCAUUGGGCGUAAAGGGCGUGCAGGCGGUCCUGCAAGUCCGGCGUGAAAGACCCCGGCCCAACCGGGGGGACGCGCUGGAAACUGCGGGGCUUGAGUACAGGAGGGGAUGCCGGAAUUCCAGGUGUAGGGGUGAAAUCUGUAGAUAUCUGGAAGAACACCAAUGGCGAAGGCAGGCAUCUGGCCAUGUACUGACGCUGAGACGCGAAGGUGCGGGGAGCAAACAGGUUUAGAUACCCUGGU
rnacentral:rRNA from 1 species